AAUGCUUACACAUGCAAGUCGACUGGAAUUCACCUUCGGGUGAUAGUACAGUGGCGGACGGGUGAGUAACGCGUAAAGAACUUGCCCUCUAGACUGGGACAACUGUUGGAAACGACAGCUAAUACCGGAUAUUAUGAGAACCUCGCAUGGGGAACUUAUGAAAGGCUAUAUGCGCUAGAGGAGAGCUUUGCGUGCCAUUAGGUAGUUGGUAGGGUAAUGGCCUACCAAGCCGACGAUGGCUAGCCGGCCUGAGAGGGUGAUCGGCCACAAGGGGACUGAGACACGGCCCUUACUCCUACGGGAGGCAGCAGUGGGGAAUAUUGGACAAUGGACCAAAAGUCUGAUCCAGCAAUUCUGUGUGCACGAUGAAGGUUUUCGGAUCGUAAAGUGCUUUCAGUAGGGAAGAAAAAAAUGACGGUACCUACAGAAGAAGCGACGGCUAAAUACGUGCCAGCAGCCGCGGUAAUACGUAUGUCGCAAGCGUUAUCCGGAAUUAUUGGGCGUAAAGCGCGUCUAGGCGGUCUUUUAAGUCUGAUGUUAAAAUGCGGGGCUCAACUCCGUAUUGCGUUGGAAACUGGAAGACUAGAGUAUCAGAGAGGUGGGCGGAACUACAAGUGUAGAGGUGAAAUUCGUAGAUAUUUGUAGGAAUGCCGAUUGGGAAGCCAGCUCACUGGAUGAAUACUGACGCUGAAGCGCGAAAGCGUGGGGAGCAAACGGGAUUAGAUACCCCGGUA
rnacentral:rRNA from 1 species